rnacentral:lncRNA from 1 species
UACUCAUCAAUGGAAGUGCUGAGGAUUGCUUGUGGAUGGACUACGUUCUCCUCCUGACAGGAGCAAAGCAAAACUGGGAUCUUGCUGAUGAAGUACUCAUCAUAAUUUUUUCAUCAGGAUCACAACCGAAGAAAGCUCAACUCAACUCACAUUCAGAGGCUUUUGUUUAUGACAAAAGUAAUUGUCAUAUCGAUCCCAAAGAAUUCUGGCUUCUGCCUCAAAUCCUGCACCUCCUAAUGCCACCAUUAAGGUCGUGGUCAUAAGUCAACAGCAGCAAGUUUAACCUUUUCUGUCUUCCUCAGGGUUUUGUUUCACUUAGCCAGCCAAAAGCAGCAAGUGAGCUAGCACCAUCUAGUGGGGAGAACUAGAUGACAUUCUUGUUGUGUAAAGAGUCUUAUUUGACUUUGAACAUCCACUUAGAGCACUGGUUCUUAACCUUGGGUUAUUCAGGAGUUUUGGACUGCAACUCCCAGAAGCCUUCACCACCAGCUGUCCUGACUGGGGUUUCUGGGAGUUGCAGUUCAAAAACACCUGAGUAACGAAGGUUAAGAACCACUGGUUUAGAGAACAACUACUGGAGUUUGUGUUGUGUUUCUCACUGUUCCUUUUGACAUUUGUUCUAUUUAUUGCACAAGAUACUUUAUCUAAAAUAUUAUUACAUCUCAUUAACAUUAAUUGGAAAAGCUAAUUCCUCUGCACCAGCUAACUCUUCUGGAACUAUGAUGAUGACAUUUUUCAGCAUUCUGUCCUGUCUACAAUUUCUUGGAGAAAUAACUAUGCAUAAGAGCCAACCUAGAAAUGCAGUAUUCUAGCUUCUAUUAGAAUACAGAACAAAAGAAAAACAUCUUGCAGCUUUAUAGACUCAUAGGUUAUUGUUCACUGAGUGUGUUUUACUAAAGGUAAAGGUACUAAAGGUAAAACAUUACCAAAUAACAGAUACCGAAAUUUUGUGUCGAUAAGACACUACUGUACUUUUUCCUAAAAUCAUUACACUAAAAAUUGAGGGGCAUCGUUUACACAGAAGUAAGUUGAGAACAAAAUGGCCCGUACCUUGCCUAUGCAAACAGGUUUCCUUUGGUCACAAGGCUUAGCUUCCUCCAAUCAGGGCCCUUAUGGAAGUGAUGUCAGCUGACGCUGAACAAACCAAUUGGAAGAUACCUUGUUGGAGGUGGAGCCUGUAGGCUCAGAUUAAAUAGGGACUCGUAAUGGCUGAGCGUUUUGAGCCCAGAGGCUGAAUACUCAAAGCUAAGUUUCUUAAUUUGG